rnacentral:lncRNA from 1 species
UACAAGAAUUGAUUACCUGAGACUGAGCUGAUAGAGGACUAAAAAAAAAAAAACUAUACUCACGGGAUCCUGAAGACUAAAGAUGAUUUGACAAAUGACAGCAGUUAUUCAUCAGUGACUUUACUUAUAUCUUAUUUUUUUUGCCACCCUGUGAUGCUAUCGCAAUUUGGUUUUUGUUGCUCUUACAAUUCCUUACUGAAACAUAUUCUCCCCAGAUUACCCAUGUGGAAUAGGACCAUCUGAGAAUGAGUUUUUCUAGUGAUGUGGGACUAAG